AUGGAAUAAAAGGCCGAAAUACAAUCAAGGCGUUUCAGGAGCAGUGAUUUCUGUGGGAGACACUAACUCCCUAAGGGUGUGACACACUGGCCUUACGUUACCGUUGGUGCAGACAGUGAUGAAGCAGAUCAGUUACCCUGGUAAUGAUGCUGCCUGUGGACAUAUGGAGCAGGAGACGGACAGGCUUCCUGGCACAACCAGAUCUUUCAGAUGUGGACACAUCAGCCUGAGGGGCUACAGUGCAAACAACACUUCAAGGGAAACCAAGAUGAAGAAAAACAAGAAGAAGAUGAUGAGGAGGAGUAGAGGGAAAUUACUUAAUUAGCCAGUUUCCACCAUUGCCUCUGCACAAAUGAUUUCUUAGAAGUAAUUAAAAGUGCUGUGCAGGGCCAUUGAAGCAGGUUUGAGUAUUAGUGCAUUGCUCAUUAAUGUAAGAACUGGAAAUGGCUCAUAAUUGAAAUACAUCCUCCUCAGCUUGGGAUUUGUCAGUAAAAACAUACAAAGCAUGACAGCAAAAUGUGUGUAUUGUAAAUAUUCUCCUUCAAUAAACUUGUCA